rnacentral:tRNA from 1 species
GGCGCCGUGGUGGAAGUGGCAGACACAGCGGACUUAAAAUCCGCUCCGCCGCAAGGCGGGUGGGGGUUCGAGUCCCCCCGGCGCCA